rnacentral:rRNA from 1 species
GACGAACGCUGGCGGCUUGCUUAACACAUGCAAGUCGAUCGGAGCGGCGAACGGGUGAGUAACGCGUGCGUAACUGCCCCCCUCUCUGGGUUAACCGUUGGAAACGGCUGCUAAUACCGGAUAGUGGGGGAUGACUCGCGUCCUAUCAGCUUGUUGUUGGGGUGGUGGCCUACCACGGCGACGACGGGUAUCCGGUCUGAUAGGAUGACCAGCCACACUGGACGGAGCAAAGGUCCAGACUCCUACGGGAGGCAGAAGUGGGGAAUAUUGCACAAGGGGCGCAAGCCUGAUGCAGCCAUGCCGAGUGUAUGACGAAGGCAUUCGGGUGGUAAAGUAAAUUCAGCGAGGAGGCCUUGGUGAUUGAAGGUACUCGAAGAAGAAGAACCGGCUAACUCCGUGCCAGCAGCCGCGGUAAUAC